rnacentral:rRNA from 1 species
AAGAGACAGCAGUCGCCACGGGAAUACAGAGGGUGCGAGCGUUAAUCGGAUUUACUGGGCGUAAAGCGUGCGUAGGCGGCUUUUUAAGUCGGAUGUGAAAUCCCUGAGCUUAACUUAGGAAUUGCAUUCGAUACUGGGAAGCUAGAGUAUGGGAGAGGAUGGUAGAAUUCCAGGUGUAGCGGUGAAAUGCGUAGAGAUCUGGAGGAAUACCGAUGGCGAAGGCAGCCAUCUGGCCUAAUACUGACGCUGAGGUACGAAAGCAUGGGGAGCAAACAGGAUUAGAUACCCGUGUAGUCCCUGUCUCUUAUAC